rnacentral:rRNA from 1 species
GAUGAACGCUGGCGGCGUGCCUAAUACAUGCAAGUCGAGCGAACAGACGAGGAGCUUGCUCCUCUGACGUUAGCGGCGGACGGGUGAGUAACACGUGGAUAACCUACCUAUAAGACUGGGAUAACUUCGGGAAACCGGAGCUAAUACCGGAUAAUGUAUUGAACCGCAUGGUUCAAUAGUGAAAGACGGUUUUGCUGUCACUUAUAGAUGGAUCCGCGCCGCAUUAGCUAGUUGGUAAGGUAACGGCUUACCAAGGCAACGAUGCGUAGCCGACCUGAGAGGGUGAUCGGCCACACUGGAACUGAGACACGGUCCAGACUCCUACGGGAGGCAGCAGUAGGGAAUCUUCCGCAAAGGGCGAAAGCCUGACGGAGCAACGCCGCGUGAGUGAUGAAGGUCUUCGGAUCGUAAAACUCUGUUAUUAGGGAAGAACAAAUGUGUAAGUAACUAUGCACGUCUUGACGGUACCUAAUCAGAAAGCCACGGCUAACUACGUG